GACGGGGGGGGCAAGUGUUCUUCGGAAUGACUGGGCGUAAAGAGCUCGUAGGCGGUCUGUUGCGUCGGCUGUGAAAACCCGGGGCUCAACUCCGGGCCUGCAGCCGAUACGGGCAGACUAGAGUUCGGCAGGGGAGACUGGAAUUCCUGGUGUAGCGGUGAAAUGCGCAGAUAUCAGGAGGAACACCGGUGGCGAAGGCGGGUCUCUGGGCCGAUACUGACGCUGAGGAGCGAAAGCGUGGGGAGCGAACAGG
rnacentral:rRNA from 1 species